rnacentral:rRNA from 1 species
GAUCAUGGCUCAGAUUGAACGCUGGCGGCAGGCUUAACACAUGCAAGUCGAACGGGGAAAGGUAGCUUGCUACCUGACCUAGCGGCGGACGGGUGAGUAAUGCUUAGGAAUCUGCCUAUUAGUGGGGGACAACAUCUCGAAAGGGAUGCUAAUACCGCAUACGUCCUACGGGAGAAAGCAGGGGACCUUCGGGCCUUGCGCUAAUAGAUGAGCCUAAGUCGGAUUAGCUAGUGGUGGGUAAGG